GAAAAGAGCAUCAUGUCGAGAGCGAAACUCUUCCACAAAACCAAAUACAAAACAGAUGUACUAAGAUGAUACUGACUACGUGAUAUUACUGCAAACCUAGAGGAAGACAAAAAAGGCACCAGCUUCUUGGUAAACACCUUCAGAGUAGUCAACAUAUACAGAAGCAAACGCCACCGUAUUUGAGCUUCAUCCAUCCCAGCCAUAUCAAAUCACCGAAGACUAUAUCCAAUAGAAGAAUGUCCAGAGCAAGAUGUUUUCAUAUCAGAAAGAAAGGAAAGAGCAAAUCUCAAAGAGUUUGUUACCUUGUCACUAUCUCAAGGAAAGAGCAAAUCUCAAAUAUCCAUGAUAUUCCAUCCUCCAAAUCUAUAGCAAAUACACAUUACUACAUUACCCUUCCGUGAGCCAAAUAACGUGUAACUCGAGAAUUCAAAAAAUCAGGACAAGGAAAGAGAGGAUGGGGACUGACAAACCCGAAGAAGCUAAGCUUACUUCCCGUGAAGGCCAGCCAACAAAAUUAACUAACCAGAGACACUCUUGUGAAACCAUAGGUUACUUCCCUCAAAGCCAACAAAACACCAGACUACUGAACUGUAGAAGAUUUUGUCCAAAGCAAAACGUUUCCAUAACAAAAAAACGACGAAUAGGACUCGGAAGAACUUCAACGUUACCUUGACUCCCUGGAGCAAAAAAACUGAAAUACAUUGUAUUGCAUCCUCAAAACCUUCCUUUAGCAGAUAUUUAUUAACCUUCAGAGAGCAGCAAAACAAGUGUUACCAAUAUCAACUAUCAACCCCCAAGAUAAGUAGCCUAGCAAAAUAGGAAACAAGGGAACAUGGCCGAGAAAAC
rnacentral:lncRNA from 1 species